UCGAGCGAGCUUGCCUGAUGAUUUUAGUGCUUGCACUAAAUGAAACUAGAUACAAGCGAGCGGCGGACGGGUGAGUAACACUGGGUAACCUGCCCAAGAGACUGGGAUAACACCUGGAAACAGAUGCUAAUACCGGAUAACAACACUAGACGCAUGUCUAGAGUUUGAAAGAUGGUUCUGCUAUCACUCUUGGAUGGACCUGCGGUGCAUUAGCUAGUUGGUAAGGUAACGGCUUACCAAGGCAAUGAUGCAUAGCCGAGUUGAGAGACUGAUCGGCCACAUUGGGACUGAGACACGGCCCAAACUCCUACGGGAGGCAGCAGUAGGGAAUCUUCCACAAUGGACGAAAAGUCUGAUGGAGCAACGCCGCGUGAGUGAAGAAGGGUUUCGGCUCGUAAAGCUCUGUUGGUAGUGAAGAAAGAUAGAGGUAGUAACUGGCCUUUAUUUGACGGUAAUUACUUAGAAAGUCACGGCUAACUACGUG
rnacentral:rRNA from 1 species